AUGCACAAUAGCAACAUGGACUUGACAAUUGACGCCAUGUGGUUGUUCCUAGCUAUUUUUCUCAUCACUGCAAUAAUCAUUAAGAAUGCAAAUGCAAGAGUUACCUCUGAUCCAGGGUGUACACGACCACCUCCACCUGUGGUCAAUAUCAUUGCUCUCCUAAAACUCUUACCUACCUUGUGUACAAAGGGCCCCGAAGUUACAAUGACCUAUCUGUAUAACACAUUUGGUAGUGUGUUCACAAUACGUUUUCUUUGGAAAAGAAUAAGCUUCUUGGUUGGGCCAGAGGUCUCUGGUCUUUUCUUUCAAGGUUCGGAGUCCGAGGUUUCCCAAGGUAAUAUGAAUGAGUUCACUGUGCCCAUGUUUGGCCAAGAGAACGGAUAUGCCGUAGAUUACAACACCCGAAGCCAGGAGAUUCGCUUCUUCAUUGACGCUCUAAAGCCAUCGCAACUGAGGAGCCAUGUUGACCCCAUGCUUCGUGAAGUGGAGGACUACUUUGCAAAAUGGGGAGAAGAGGGGGUAGUCGAUCUGAAAGAUGAGCUCAACCAGAUACUCAUGUUGAUCGCAAGUCGGUGCUUACUUGGAAAUGAGUUUAGAGAAAGCUUACAUGGAAAUGAGGUUAGAGAAAAGCCAUUUGGUGAGAUUUACACAUUGUUUAGUGGAAUCGAAGAAGGGGUGAACUUGGUGAGUUUCAUGCUCCCAUAUUUCCCUGUUCCGGCAAAUCACCGACGAGACAAAGCACGGAUCAGACUUACAGAGAUUGUUUAUGAUAUUAUGAGGUCAAGAAAGACAUGCGGCCGUGUCGAGGAAGAUGUGCUCCAGAAAUUGAUGGACUCUAGGUAUAAAGACGGCCGUCGUACAACAGAAGCGGCGGUCGCCGGGAUGAUCAUCGGAUUGAUAUUUGCUGGAAAACACACAAGCUCAAAUGUAUCCACCUGGACAGGAGCUUGCCUAUUGACCCAUACAAAGUUUUUAGAUGCUGUUGUGGAAGAGCAAAGGGAAAUAAUUAGAAAAUAUAAGGACAAGAUAGACUAUAAUGUCUUGUCAAAGAUGGAGACAUUGCAUAGUUGCAUCAAAGAGGCAGGACGUAUGCAUCCAGUAACACUAGGGUUGAUUCGCCAAACAGAAAAGAAUAUCAAUGUGAGGACAAAAGAGGGAACUGAAUAUGGCAUCCCGAAAGGUGACACCUUAGUAAAUCUUGUAAUGCUAACCAGUAAGUUGUCACACAUUUACAAGGACCCUGAAGUGUAUGACCCAUACCGGUUUCAUCCUGGAAGAGAGGAGGACAAAGUUGGUGGUAAAUUCUCGUACGCAAUAUUUGGCGGUGGAAUCCAUGUUUGUCCCGGGGAGGCCUAUGCUUUCUUGCAAAUUAAAAUUAUAUGGAGCCAUUUGGUGAGAAAUUUUGAGCUCAAACUCACUUCUCCUUUUCCGAAGACAGACUGGAGCAAGUUUGUGUUAGAGCCUAAAGGGAAAGUGCUGGUAAACUAUAAGAGACGUCGUCUGGAAAGCAACUGA
rnacentral:rRNA from 1 species